AGCUUGCUGGGUGGAUUAGUGGCGAACGGGUGAGUAACACGUGAGUAACCUGCCCUUAACUCUGGGAUAAGCCUGGGAAACUGGGUCUAAUACCGGAUAGGAGCGCCUACCGCAUGGUGGGUGUUGGAAAGAUUUAUCGGUUUUGGAUGGACUCGCGGCCUAUCAGCUUGUUGGUGAGGUAAUGGCUCACCAAGGCGACGACGGGUAGCCGGCCUGAGAGGGUGACCGGCCACACUGGGACUGAGACACGGCCCAGACUCCUACGGGAGGCAGCAGUGGGGAAUAUUGCACAAUGGGCGCAAGCCUGAUGCAGCGACGCCGCGUGAGGGAUGACGGCCUUCGGGUUGUAAACCUCUUUCAGUAGGGAAGAAGCGAAAGUGACGGUACCUGCAGAAGAAGCACCGGCUAACUACGUGCCAGCAGCCGCGGUAAUACGUAGGGUGCGAGCGUUAUCCGGAAUUAUUGGGCGUAAAGAGCUCGUAGGCGGUUUGUCGCGUCUGUCGUGAAAGUCCGGGGCUUAACCCCGGAUCUGCGGUGGGUACGGGCAGACUAGAGUGCAGUAGGGGAGACUGGAAUUCCUGGUGUAGCGGUGGAAUGCGCAGAUAUCAGGAGGAACACCGAUGGCGAAGGCAGGUCUCUGGGCUGUAACUGACGCUGAGGAGCGAAAGCAUGGGGAGCGAACAGGAUUAGAUACCCUGGUAGUCCAUGCCG
rnacentral:rRNA from 1 species